AGCUCCAAUAGCGUAUAUUGAAGUUGUUGCGGUUAAAAAGCUCGUAGUUGGAUCUGAGAUUAUGGACAGCGGUCCUCAAAUGAGUUGUACUGCUUGUUCAAAUCUAUUCUGUUGGUUGGUGUGCAGUGCUCUUUAUUGAGUGUUGUACGCUGCCAACUAUUUUACUUUGAAGAAAUUAGAGUGCUCAAAGCAGGCGACUGCUCGAAUAUUGGUGCAUGGAAUAAUAGAAUAGGGCCUUGGUUCUAUUUUGUUGGUUUUAAGAGCACGAGGCAAUGAUUAAGAGGAACAGACGGGGCAUUUGUAUUGCGGCGUUAGAGGUGAAAUUCUUGGAUCGUCGCAAGACAAACAACUGCGAAAGCAUUUGCCAAGAAUGUUUUCAUUAAUCAAGAACGAAAGUAGG
rnacentral:rRNA from 1 species